AUACGGAGGAUCCGAGCGUUAUCCGGAUUUAUUGGGUUUAAAGGGUGCGCAGGCGGGAGAUUAAGUCGGCGGUGAAAUUUUGCAGCUCGACUGUAAAAGUGCCUUCGAAACUGGUUUCCUUGAGUGUAGAUGAAGUAGGCGGAAUUUGUGGUGUAGCGGUGAAAUGCAUGGAUAUCACGAGGAACUCCGAUUGCGCAGGCAGCUUACUAAACUACUACUGACGCUCAGGCACGAAGGCGUGGGGAUCAAACAGGAUUAGAUACCCUGGUAGUCCACGCAGUAAACGAUGAUUACUAGCUGUUUGCGAUACAAUGUAAGCGGCUGAGCGAAAGCGUUAAGUAAUCCACCUGGGGAGUACGUUCGCAAGAAUGAAACUCAAAGGAAUUGGCGGGG
rnacentral:rRNA from 1 species